GUACGGGAGGCAGCAGUAAGGAAUAUUGGACAAUGCAGGAAACUCUGAUCCAGCCAUGCCGCGUGAAGGAUGAAGGCGCUCAGCGUUGUAAACUUCUUUUGAGUGGGAACAAAAAACGGGACUUGUCCCGGACUGAGGGUACCACUAGAAUAAGCACCGGCUAACUCCGUGCCAGCAGCCGCGGUAAUACGGAGGGUGCAAGCGUUAUCCGGAAUUACUGGGUUUAAAGGGUGCGUAGGCGGUCAGAUAAGUCAGUCGUGAAAUGCCCCGGCUCAACCGGCGGAACUGCGAUUGAUACUGUUUGACUUGAAUCAAGUUUAGGCAAGCGGAAUGUGACAUGUAGCGGUGAAAUGCUUAGAUAUGUCAUAGAACACCGAUUGCGAAGGCAGCUUGCUGGGCUUAGAUUGACGCUGAGGCACGAAAGCGUGGGGAGCAAACAGGAUUAGAUACCCUUGUAGUCA
rnacentral:rRNA from 1 species